rnacentral:rRNA from 1 species
CGGGACGGGUGAGUAAUGUCUGGGAAACUGCCUGAUGGAGGGGGAUAACUACUGGAAACGGUAGCUAAUACCGCAUAACGUCGCAAGACCAAAGAGGGGGACCUUCGGGUCUCUUGCCAUCGGAUGUGCCCAGAUGGGAUUAGCUAGUAGGUGGGGUAACGGCUCACCUAGGCGACGAUCCCUAGCUGGUCUGAGAGGAUGACCAGCCACACUGGAACUGAGACACGGUCCAG